CCUACGGGUGGCAGCAGUGAGGAAUAUUGGUCAAUGGGAGAGAUCCUGAACCAGCCAAGCAGCGUGAGGGAUGACGGCCCUACGGGUUGUAAACUUCUUUUGUCGGGGAAUAAAACGCCGGACGUGUAGGGCAUUGCGUGUACCCGAUGAAUAAGCACCGGCUAACUCCGUGCCAGCAGCCGCGGUAAUACGGAGGGUGCGGGCGUUAUCCGGAUUUAUGGGGUUUAAAGGGAGCGUAGGCGGAUCGUCAAGCGUGCGGGAAAAGUGCGGGGCCCAACCCGGUCGUGCCGUGGGAACUGGCGGGCUUGAGUUCGCGGAAAGCACGCGGAAUUCGUGGUGUAGCGGUGAAAUGCUUAGAUAUGACGAAGAACCCCGAUUGCGAAGGCAGCGUGCUGGAGCGGGACUGACGCUGAGGCUCGAAAGCGCGGGGAUCGAACAGGAUUAGAUACCCGAGUAGUC
rnacentral:rRNA from 1 species